CCCGUCACACCAUGAGAGUUGGGAAUACCCGAAGCCUGUGAGCUAACUUUUAGAGGCAGCAGUCGAAGGUAGAAUCAAUGAUUGGGUGAAGUCGUAACAAGGUAGC
rnacentral:rRNA from 1 species